CCCUUAGAGUUUGAUCCUGGCUCAGAUUGAACGCUGGCGGCAGGCCUAACACAUGCAAGUCGAGCGGUAACAGAUUGAUAGCUUGCUAUCAAUGCUGACGAGCGGCGGACGGGUGAGUAAUGCCUGGGAAUAUGCCCUGAUGUGGGGGAUAACUAUUGGAAACGAUAGCUAAUACCGCAUAACCUCUUCGGAGCAAAGAGGGGGACCUUCGGGCCUCUCGCGUCAGGAUUAGCCCAGGUGGGAUUAGCUUGUUGGUGGGGUAAUGGCUCACCAAGGCAACGAUCCCUAGCUGGUCUGAGAGGAUGAUCAGCCACACUGGAACUGAGACACGGUCCAGACUCCUACGGGAGGCAGCAGUGGGGAAUAUUGCACAAUGGGGGAAACCCUGAUGCAGCCAUGCCGCGUGUAUGAAGAAGGCCUUCGGGUUGUAAAGUACUUUCAGUUGUGAGGAAGGCAGUAAAGUUAAUAGCUUUGCUGUUUGACGUUAGCAACAGAAGAAGCACCGGCUAACUCCGUGCCAGCAGCCGCGGUAAUACGGAGGGUGCGAGCGUUAAUCGGAAUUACUGGGCGUAAAGCGCAUGCAGGUGGUCUGUUAAGCAAGAUGUGAAAGCCCGGGGCUCAACCUCGGAACAGCAUUUUGAACUGGCAGACUAGAGUGCUGUAGAGGGGGGUAGAAUUUCAGGUGUAGCGGUGAAAUGCGU
rnacentral:rRNA from 1 species